UCAUCUUCGGGGGUAGAGCACUGUUUCGGCUAGGGGGUCAUCCCGACUUACCAACCCGAUGCAAACUACGAAUACCGAAGAAUGUUAUCACGGGAGACACACGGCGGGUGCUAACGUCCGUCGUGAAGAGGGAAACAACCCAGACCGCCAGCUAAGGUCCCAAAGUCAUGGUUAAGUGGGAAACGAUGUGGGAAGGCACAGACAGCCAGGAUGUUGGCUUAGAAGCAGCCAUCAUUUAAAGAAAGCGUAAUAGCUCACUGGUCGAGUCGGCCUGCGCGGAAGAUGUAACGGGGCUAAACCAUGCACCGAAGCUGCGGCAGCGACACUAUGUGUUGUUGGGUAGGGGAGCGUUCUGUAAGCCUGCGAAGGUGACCUGUGAGGGUUGCUGGAGGUAUCAGAAGUGCGAAUGCUGACAUAAGUAACGAUAAAGCGGGUGAAAAGCCCGCUCGCCGGAAGACCAAGGGUUCCUGUCCAACGUUAAUCGGGGCAGGGUGAGUCGACCCCUAAGGCGAGGCCGAAAGGCGUAGUCGAUGGGAAACAGGUUAAUAUUCCUGUACUUGGUGUUACUGCGAAGGGGGGACGGAGAAGGCUAUGUUAGCCGGGCGACGGUUGUCCCGGUUUAAGCAUGUAGGCUGGUUGUCCAGGCAAAUCCGGAUAAUCAAGGCUGAGGUGUGAUGACGAGGCACUACGGUGCUGAAGUAACAAAUGCCCUGCUUCCAGGAAAAGCCUCUAAGCAUCAGGUAACAUCAAAUCGUACCCCAAACCGACACAGGUGGUCAGGUAGAGAAUACCAAGGCGCUUGAGAGAACUCGGGUGAAGGAACUAGGCAAAAUGGUGCCGUAACUUCGGGAGAAGGCACGCUGGUGUGUAGGUGAAGCCCCUGCGGGUGGAGCUGAGACCAGUCGAAGAUACCAGCUGGCUGCAACUGUUUAUUAAAAACACAGCACUGUGCAAACACGAAAGUGGACGUAUACGGUGUGACGCCUGCCCGGUGCCGGAAGGUUAAUUGAUGGG
rnacentral:rRNA from 1 species